rnacentral:lncRNA from 1 species
GAGGCAGCCCACAUCCAGGCUGACACUGGACAACAAACACUGGAACGUCCACCCCUGCUGCCAGAAGCUCCAGUUGUCACUGUCAUCUGCCAAGAAAAAAAACUAUAAAUAAAAGACUCCAUGUGGCUCCUACUUUUCAGUUCCCUCUUCGAUGUGGGGUACCGGAUGGGCAGAGCCUGUCAUGGGCCUGCCGAGGAGCCAGGAUCACCAGGCCUCCGCUUUCCAGUGCCAGGGUUUGAAAGCAGAGCUCCAAACAGACAUGGACGACAAUGAGCUAGAGGACAGCAUGUGCAUAAGACCUUCAGGAUUCAGAGGCUACCCAUCUCUCCAGCUCUCUCUCACUACACUAUCUUGCUUUGGGUUCCCAUCUCUCCAGAUCACUUAAAGAAACCUCUUCCUGUCCCUGCCAACAACCACCUGCAGACACCUGACAUCUCUAUCUUUUGCUCUGUCCAGCUUCUGGGAUGACAUCUGGCCAACCUAGUCAGCCUUCACAUACUAAGCAUCAAUCACCCACACAGGAAGCCUAUCUGGAAAUCCAGGCACACCUAUCCCCUGGCCUGAUUAGGUGGUCUUUCUCCAUGCACGUGUCAUUUCCAGUGAAC